UACGAAGGGGGGCUAGCGUUGCUCGGAAUCACUGGGCGUAAAGGGUGCGUAGGCGGGUUUUUAAGUCAGGGGUGAAAUCCUGGAGCUCAACUCCAGAACUGCCUUUGAUACUGAGGAGCUUGAGUCCGGGAGAGGUGAGUGGAACUGCGAGUGUAGAGGUGAAAUUCGUAGAUAUUCGCAAGAACACCAGUGGGCGAAGGCGGCCUCACUGGCCCGGUACUGACGCUGAGGUGCGAAAAGCGUGGGGAGCAAACAGG
rnacentral:rRNA from 1 species